UGUUGAAACACCGGUUCCUGUACGAUCACCAAAGUUAAGCAUCGUCGUGACUAGUCUGUAUCUAGAUGGGUAACCCCUUGGGAACGCCAG